UUGGGCAUGUUGCCUUUGUUGUUGGUGGUGGAGGGCAUGGUUUUCCUUUAGGGGAUGGUGUAAUAACUGGUGGAACUGUCACGGGUGGAAUUCCGAUAGGUGGCAAGUUAAUAGGAGGUUUUACAAUAGGUGGUAAACCAAUUGGUGGCUUCAGAACUGGUGGAACUGUCACUGGUGGAAUUCCGAUAGGUGGCUUAAUAACGGGUGGAACGACGGGCGGCAAGUUGAUGGGAGGUUUUACAACUGGUGGAACUGUAACUGGUGGAAUUCCGAUAGGUGGCUUAAUAACUGGUGGAACAACUGGUGGCAAGUUGAUGGGAGGUUUUACAACUGGUGGAACUGUCACUGGUGGAAUUCCGAUGGGCGGCUUAAUAACUGGUGGAACAACAGGUGGCAAGUUGAUAGGUGGUUUUACAAUCGGUGGAAUUCCAAUGGGUGGCAAGUUGAUAGGGGGUUUAAUACUUGGAGAGGGAGUUUUGGGUUUUUUGGGUUUGUGAGAGGGUUUUCCACAAUAUCCACAACCAAGAAUGGGAGUGAAUGAAGAAAGGAAAAGCAUGGAAAUGAAAAGAAGACAUGUUAUUUUAGAUGACUCCAUUUUCCUAUGAGGAAAGAGGGAAUAGGUUGAGAUUUUGGUACAAAGAGUAUGGUGUUAUAUAGAUAUGAAAGUGAAUUGAUGAUUGGUGAAUGCAAACAAAAUAAACCCUAAAACCAAUGCACGUGAACAAGGGGUCUAUAUGGCCAAUUUUUGCUAGUUGGCAACUCAAUUGUCUUGCAUGUGCAUGAAUCUGUAUUAGUACUUUUACUUAAUCUUGAUUAUUAUGUCUAAUCAUGAUUACUCAUGUCAACUUAACAAGGAAGCUCAAUAGCUUCACUUGCCAUCUAUGGGAGGCUCGCUCUGGGAAAGUUCGAAUCAUUUAGAGCAGGGGCGGAUGCACGUAUAACGAAGCGGUCUCACGUGAUAUCGCUUCGUCGGAAAUUUUUACUAAAUAUAUGUAUUAAUAUAGUGAGGAAAUGACUAAGUAGGAUAAAAUGACACUCUUGAUAUAAAUUAUCUCUUUGUGUGUUGGUUAUGUGCUUGAUUUUGUUUUAAGAGGGUCAAAGGUUCGAACCUCAACAAGUAUAUAUUUUUUUUGUUAUAAAUAUUUGAGAUAGCCUCUAGUUAAAAGUUAUGAUAAUGAAGUAGAAUUGAACUCGGGGACCUUUUCUAACUUAAGACUCAAGAAAACAAAUAGAUUAAGGCUAUUUCUUGUUUAGAAAUAUGAUAAUACAAGUUAUUAUUCCCGUUCUUCUAUAAAUUGUCAACCGCUUAUAAAAUUUUCUACGUACGCCCCUGAUUUAGAGUACAUGCAAAGAGAGAUUCUGAAUUUAAAGUUUAUCAGUUUUUUUAGCGAUUUCAAGUUUAUAUUAUAAUAAAAUAUGAUUACACAGUCAAAUAUUUAUAGGUACUUAGUGAACUUAUGUAUACAAUUUAAGCAAAAAUUAUCGAGUUCACGUGAAUCCAUAACUUGCACAUUGAAUCUGCCCCUGAAUACAUGGGCAACUCCAUGAAGGAAGGAAUUGAGUUAUGAACGUUUUCAUAUGAGUCUUUUAAUUUCCUGUAUUUAUUCGAUAAAAAAUGCAGCCAAUGAAUGUUAAUCUUUGAUCUAAGUCAAUUUUAAUACAAUAUCUCUGUGGACAAUAUUAAGUAUAUAAAUUAUGUAAAAAUUGGAGCGUUAUACAUAUAGUUGAUACAAAAACCAGACAAAUGAACUUCCUGGCUAGAGCUAUCCCAUAACUUAUGCUUCAAAAAAAUUUAUUGACAGGAAAUCCAUGUUACAAGUUGCAGGAUAGAACAAAUCUUCCAUUUGCACACAACAAAAGAAGGUAUUUUUAAUAAAAUAGUACUCCUAGACCCUAGUAAGAAUUAUGGAAAAGUGACAAAAUCCAAUUAAUACUAGCCAAUUUACAAGUGAGAACUAUGGCGUUGCAUGCAGAGGCGAAGCCAUAAUUUGAACCUUAUGGGUUUGGGAUUAUAAUCCUUUUAAGUUAUUGGGUUCUAAAUUAAUAAUGUAUAUAUAUUCAAUUAAUUUCUUAAGAUAAAUACAUGGUUUGAAUAAAAGUUAUUGGGUUCGAUUGAACCCGCAUCCCACGCUCUGGCUCCAUUGCUGCUUGCAUGAAAAGGAAAAACUUUUAUUUUCCUUGUAUAUAUUUAAGUUUUGACGGAUAAAGUUACUAUCAGUAUUUAUGCUGAUAGGAAAUCAUCAUAGGCGGAUUCAAUAUUUAAACUUGAUGGUUACGGCCCGCAAAAUUUCACCUUUGGCCUAUUGCAAUUUUGAAAUUAUGUAUUCAAAUUUUAAUAUUUUUUGAAAUAUUAGUAAUUCUGAAUAAUAUAUUUACUCAAUGUCGAAAAUGUUAGUUUUGGAUUCGCCUCUAGAGAGGUAGCUGGAUUAUAUUCGAUAAAUCAAUCAAGAUACACGCAAGCGAAUCUGGACACCACUAUUAUCUUAUUUAUAAAUAAGUAUUUAUCCCUUGUGAUCUUUUUACUUGACUCCCCCAAUAUCCCCACUUAGCUCCAUGGGUAUAGCUAGGGAUAUUGGUAUAGUAUGGGAAUUCAUUUGUAGUAAAAUUAUUGAGUCUGACGUACGUGCAUAGGUUGAUAUGUCUGUCAAUUUCUCUGUGUAAUCCUAUACCUAGGCUGAUCAGAAAUUCCCACAAUCAUUUUCACCUUUGGUCAAAAGUUAUAAUUGUCACCUUUGACAGAAGCCUAUUGAUAUGAAAUAUCAAGCCUACCUAAAUUACCCUUGACCAAGGUUUUCGGGUUCGAAUUUUGGAUAUAAAUUCACCUCUGUUUAGAGAGCUUUACCCUUUAAUAUAGGACUUUCUGAUACGAAUUCUGUUGUGGAAGAUCAAGGGCUAACUAGCACACAAUCACACACAAAGCAAAUAGAGAACAAAAAGCAACACAAGGAUUUAACGAUGUUUGGCUAAGCCUAAUCAUCGGGGCAGAAGCAGAGAGAGUUUUUCAUUAUGAAUGAGAAGAAAAGAACAAUACAAUCUAUAGAAUCCCCAACUACAACCCCUAUAGAUAGAUCCCAAAUAGUCCCAAACCUAUAAGAGAAAGAUUUCCCAAUUUAAUAAGAACAAUAGCUUUUCUUUCCCAAAUCUAUUAGGACAAUGGGUUUUCUUAAACCUAUAGGGAUUAUGAGUUUCCUAAAAAUAUAAGGAAAUAAUUCAAUCCAUAAAUAACAAAUCUUCUCCUUGGCUUGAAUUCUCUUCAUCAAUAGGAACAAUGUCUCUCUACCUUGCCUUCAUCCCUUGCAAGGGCUCUACUCAUUGCCGCACACAUCAACCAAGUCUAGGCAACGCCUAAACUUAUUAAAAGACUCAAUCUCUUUAGCCAUAGCACUAAUCCGUCUAUUUGGUUCUGUAUUCUGAAUAGUUUCUGGGUAAUUAUAACACUCAAACGCAUCAACGGCCUCUACAACUGCAAAUCCCACAAGAUUUGUAUAUCCAAGAAGAUUUCUAUCAACUACGUUUGUAAAUAUUUGCUAUCAGUCGAUCAGCCUCUUCUCUCUACCUGUUGCAAUGCUAUAUGGUUGCUGUUGUGCAGGUGCAUCAACAUUAUCAUCUUGAUCAAUAUUUUGCACAUUCUCCACUUCCUAUACUUUAGAACUAAUAGGAUGAGCUAGUGAAGAUUCAAUUUCUACCUCUAUGCGGUUACUGACACCAUGAUCUGUUUCUGCUAUUACCUUCUCCCUCGGACUAUCUAGUGAGGCAAAUUCAUUAAAUGUUACAUCCCUACUAAUAAUUAGCCCUGGAGUCUUUUGAUUUGUGCACCACAAUCUAUAACCUUUCACUCCAGUUGCAUACCCUAGAAAUAUGUACUUUUUUGCCCUCGGCUCAAGUUUUUCAUCCCUCACAUGAGCAUAAGCAGAACAACUAAAUAUCCUUAAAUUUGAAUAAUUAGCAGGCGAACCGGAUCAUACCUCAAAAGGAGUUUUGAAAUUAAUUACUGUGGAUGGAGAGUUGUUGACCAAAUAACAAGUUGUAUUGAUUUCUUCAGCACAAAAAUCCUUGCUAACGCAUGAGUGUGAAUACAUGCUUCGCGCCCUAUCACAAAGAGUUAUGUUCAUAUUUUUUGCAAUACCAUUUUGUGGUGGUGUUCCGACACAAGUGCGGUGUCUCACUAUGCCCUCUGUGCUACAAAAAUUAUCGAACUCAGAAUUGCAAAACUCUAUCCCAUUGUCAGUUCGAAGACGCUUAACUUUUCUUUCCGUCUGCCUCUUAACCAUUGUCUUCUAUUUAACAAAUGUUGGAAAUGUCUCUGUGACGACCCGGUCAGUCGUCUCAUGAGUUACCGCUUUGUUUCCCCUAUUUCUGCUUCAUAUUGCUUUGUUUAUCAGUUCUAUAUGUGAUCAGGUUGGUUGACUCGGGUUCGAAAAGGGUUUGAGAAGGUUUGAGGCACUUAGUCUCUUUUGAGGAAGUUUAAGUUGGAAAAGUCAAACGGAUGUUGACUUAUGUGUUAGAAGGCUCGGAUGUGAGUUCCAAUGGUUCGGAUAGCUUCGGGAGGUGAUUAGGGACUUAGGAACGUGAUCGGAAUGUGUUUUGGAGGUUCGGAGUAGAUUUAGGUUUGAAUUGGCGAUAUUGAAUUUUUGGCAUUUUCUGGUUGGUAGGUGAGAUUUUGAUAUAGGGGUCGGAAUGGAAUUCCGAGAGUUGCAGUAGUUUUGUUGGGUCAUUUGGGAUGUGUUUGCAAAAUUUCAGGUCAUUCGGACGUGGUUUGGUUGGGUUUUUUUAUCAAAAGCGUAAUUUAGAAGAUUUUGGAAUUCUUAGGCUUGAAUCUGAUACAAAUUUGGUGUUUUUAUGUUGAUUUGAGCGUUUCGAAGGUUAGGACGAGUUUGAAUAAGGUUAUAGGAUAGGUUUGUGUUUUUGGUUGAGGUCCCGGGGGCCUCAAGGUGAUUUCGGAUGAUUGACGGAGAGAUUGAGAGUUUGGUGAAGCUACAGAUUUUGCUUUUCUGUUGUUUCUGCACCUGCGGAUUGGGGACCACUUCUCCGCCUCUCACCCUCGUUCUCUCCAUCCCCGUCGUUUCUCUCACUCUUUUCUCAGUCACUGUCGUGCGCCAUACCCACCUCAAGAACACCACCACCAACCUCCCUUCACCCUCGUUCUCUUCAGAAUAUUAUUGUUUCGGAACUUUGCUUUUGUUUUACAUAUUUCAAGGUCCGUUUCUGCUUCGCUUACUUCUCCAAUCCGCAAUUUAAUUAGUUCAUGUGAAUGUUGCAUUGGUUGAUUUGUUUGUCUAAUUUUAAUGAAUAUGCAUAUAUCCUAUUGAAGUAUUCUCUGUGUUCGAUCUCAAAAUUGAAGUUGCUGGCUUGGAGUUUGAUUGUAAAUCAAAGAACCAUUGAAUUAGGCAUCUAGAACGGUGCUAUUUAAUAGGUCGCGGGAUUGAUCUCUAAAAAGAGAACAAGCAUGGGUUUGGGGUAGAACGUUGAACUGUUAGGUUAUAGAUAAUUUUCUAACUUUAAUUUCUAUUUAUCUAUUUGGGGUCGCUAGUAACAUGCUUAGGCCGUCAUCAUUUGGGUAGGCAAACUUUUAGGACGUUCGUAUUUUAAUUUCUUUUGAGGCGAAAGGUCGCACUCUUUAGUUAAAUUUAUCCGGGGAAUGCCCCGAAGUAUUUAUACAUAUUUUAUUCCGAGGAAUGCCCCGUAGUAUUCUGUAAUUGGAGAGGCCGUGGGAAUAUCGUAGCAGAAAUAGCGUAGGAUAAUUCGAAACUUUAAUUUUCCUUUUAAUCUUCUUUCAUUUAGGUGGGGACGACCUCGAGCCUCUUUUGUAUUUAUUUUUCUUUUAUGUGAUUUUACCUCAAUUUGAAUAUUUUAAAAGACAACUAGGUUAAGUACGCAACCGUACUAGUUACGGAACUCGAGGAAUGUCUAACACCUUCUCCCCGAGUCAAAUUAAUCCCCUUACCCGAAUCUCUGGUGCAGACUUAGUUUUGGAGUCUCAAGUGUUUUCAAAGGAAAAAAUUAUUUUUAUAAAAAACGGUAACUUCGCACACCGAAACCAAUGUUAGGUGACGACUCUGAGUUAUUUCCUUUUGAAUAUAAUUUUAUCACUUUUAUAUUAAAAACCCUUUUGAGCUUUACAAAUCCUUUUUAUUAUUUAAAGAGGGUUUAGUGAAGUUUGUAAAAAAAUGGGUGUGACAGCUCUGGCGACUCUGCUGGGGAGUUGCAGGUUCGAGCUGGUACUUGAUCUUGUUGGCUUUUAGGAUUUUCGGUUGAGGUGUUUGUUUUCUUUAUUUGCUUUGUUUGUCUUAUUUCCUUGUUUUGUUAGUUAUUUGUUUAUCGCUUUUCUUAAGGUGUUACUGCUUUAUAAACUGUCUUCAUUUGCAUAACCAUGGGUAUUCUUUCUGCAACAAGUCUCGGAGUACGCGUCGCGUGCACAAACUAUUUGUUGAGUCAACGUUAGUUUAGGAGGGGGGCCGUCGGACGUAUGGACUGGGUGGAAAGAUUGAGCAGCCAUCAUCGACCAUACGCUCCCCCCGAAUUGCAUUGUUAGUGAACCCCAAACUUAGGUCAGCCUUUUGGUCAUUUUUAUUUGCAUCAUGUUAUUUAGAUCUAGCAGGGCUCGGUCCCAGGUACCGUGCCCUUUGUAGGAGGCCUAUCCAAAUUUUGUCAAAAUGGGCUUGUGGCCCAAAAAGACAUUCAAUCAUCCCUAUGUGAUACAUGUUGCAUCUUUGACGGUAAGAAGGUCAUUUGGCGGACCGAUGUUUGGGAAAGAAGGGUGAAAAAUGAAGCAAGUAGGGCCUAGUUAUAUUUUUCUUUCACAACUUUUUCAAAAAAAGGACCAAAAAAAUUGAUGAAAAUGAAAAAAAAUCCAAAAAAAAAAGAUUUUACACUUUCCCAUCAUUUUCCAAAAAAAAUCAAAAAAAAAAGAAAAGAAAAAGAGAAUCCAAAAAGAUUUUAUAUUUUCCAUCAUUUUUCAAAAAGACAAAAAAAAAUAUUUUUUCCAAAUUAGUGUCAUUUUUUAAGUUUUCUCCCAUAUCCAAUCUUCUCGAACUACGUAUACCUUAUUCUCGUCUUUCGGUGCAGGUUAGGCAUCGUAGAUGCGGAGUCUGAGUGGCUUAAGUGAAAAUCGUAGAAGCGGUUCAAGGACCGCAAAAACGAUACCGCAGAAGCGGUAGAAGGGGCCGCAGAUGCGAAAUGCAUGGGCCAGAAGGUAUAAAUUAUUUCCUUCGCGAUUUUUUAGUUAUUCCACCUUUCUAAGUCGGCUUUUGCAGCUUUUUGGGCGAUUCGAAGAAGGAGUUCAAGGAGAUUUCAUUGAGGUAAGGAUUUUGGACCUAAAACUCAUUCCUAUGGUAUCAUUUCAUGGAUUACAGUCGUAAUCAUGGAAAUUAAGGGUUAAAAUUUGGAAAACUAGGCUUGGUAUUAAAGACCUAGACUUGAGGAUUUGAGGGGUCAUUUGUGGUCGGAUUCUAGGACUUUUUAUAUGUAUGAACUCAUGGGGAGAUAAGGAAUCUAUUGAUUUAAAUUUUAUCGAAUUUCGAGACGUGAUCCCGGGGUUGGGUUUUGGUUAAUUUCGAGAUUUAUGUUGUAAAUUGAUUAUUUUCGAUGGGCUUCGUUCCCUUAGCAUAUUUUGACGUCGUGAUUCUGAUUUUGGAUAGAUUCGACGUGAGUGGAGGCCGAUUCGAGGGGCAAAGGCAUUGCGUGUUAGAUUUGGGCCGGAUUGAGGUGAGUAAUGAUUGUAAAUGUUGUCCUGAGGGUAUGAAACCCCGGAUUGUACAUUGUUAUGCUAUAUUGAGGUGGUGCACAUGCUAGAUGACGAGCGUGGAAUCGUGCACUGUUGGGUACUGUGACUUAGUCCGUCCCGAAUGACUAUUUUACCGCAUAUUUGAUUGAGAAACGAUUUGCUAUCAUCAUGUUUCGGGCUGAAUGCCAUAUUUGGGCCGUGUGCCAACUAUUUGAACCCUUAAGGGAUUUUUACUGAUAUUUCCUCAUUAUUUUGACUUUAUACUUGUACUCAAUCAUGUUAUAUUCUACUAUUUUCAUAACUCGGCCAUGUCUACUCUGCUUUAACACUUAAAAUGAUAUUUUAAAUGAUAUUUUGGGCUGAGCAUCAUGUUUUACUAUUGCCCGAGUGGCUUGUGAGAAUUUUGACUAAGUAAGGCCGAGGGCCUAUGUUGUGAGGAAACACUUGAUUAUGAUUACGAGGCCGAGGGCCUGAGAUUUGUACGCCACGAGGUGGCUUGUUGAUAUGAGGCCAAGAGCCUAUGUGAUUAUGACACGAGAUGGCUUGAUAUUGUGCUUGGGCCAUAAGGAGCCCCUCCAGGAGUCUGCACACCCCCAGUGAGCGCGGGUACCCAUUGUGAUUUGAGAUAUAGCCCGAGGGGCUGAUGUUGUUCCAUGUGUUGCCCGAGGGGCUGAUUAUAUUGGUAUUGUGCCCGAGGGGCGGUUCUUUAUAUGUUUAUCUUUCCUAAUUGAUCGUCAUUUACUUGUUUAACUAUUAAAAAGGCAUUCCAAAGAAGUUUUAACUGAACUAAAGUGAUUUUUUCUAUUUUUCACUAUUUCAUUGUUUUUAUUGAUUUUUACUGCUUCUUUAUAGUCUAUUGAUGUGUCUUUACGUGGUUUCUUAUUACUCAGUCUGCAUUUAUUAUUAUUACUCACUGAGUUGGAGUACUCACUUUACUCCCUGCAUCCCGUGUGCAGAUUCAGGUGCAUCAGGUCCUGCUGGCGAGGGUUGAGAGCUUCCAGCAGAAUCCGGAGUUCACGAGGUAGUUGCUCAACGUUCGCAGCCCCGUGUCUCUCCCCCUUUCUCAUUUUUUUUCUCUUAUUAGUAUUCUGUAAUAAUUUGAGUAGAACCUUUCAGACUUGUAGUAUUAUUAUAGAUGCUUAUGACUGGUGACACCCUGAUGUCAGGCUGUGUUGGUUUUAAUUCCGCAAAUUGUACUGUUCACUACUUAUUUGGGGAUUUUAUCAUGUUUAAAGACUUAAUACUUAUUACUUUAAUUGCUUAAAAUGAAGUGGGAAUGUGUCGGUAGGCCUUAUCUUCACGAGAGGCGCCAUCACGAUUGGGUCCGAGUUUAGGGUCGUGAUAGUCUCAUCUUUUUUUUUAGAAAAUACACUCACAUCAUCCUUGAGUAAUCAUCAAUCAAAGUCAUAAAAUAUCUGGCAUCACUCUGGGAGGGAACUUUGUUUGGACCCCACAAGUAUGAAUAUAUAUAAUCUAACUUGUCUCUGGUCUUAUGCCACUACUAGAAAUUUAGCAAAAACCGACCAACAAAAAUCGACCAACUUUGGUCGGUCAAAAACCGGCCAAACCAAAAACCGACCAAAGUUAGUCAGUUUUUUAAAAUUUUUUAAUUUUUAAUUUUUUUUUAUGAAACCGACCAACUUUGGUCGGUUUUUUUUUGGCCAAAAAAUGCGAGAAACUAUUUUUGAGUCCCGCAAAAUUUAUUUUUUAAGAAAUUGACCAACUUUGAUUGGUUUUUUCAAUUAAAAUAAAUAAAAAUAAAUAUUAAAAACCCGACCAACUUUGGUCGUUUAUUUUCGUGCGAAAAUAUAAUUAAAGAGUAUAAAUAAAAAAUAAGACAAUAUUAAAACAAAAUGCACCAAUGGUCUAGUGGUAGAAUAGGAUUUUGUCACAGUAUACACCCCGGUUCGAUUCCUAGAUGGUGAAACUUUUGAUUACAUAAUUAAAAUACCGACCAACUUUGGUCGGAAAAUAUCGAUCAACUUUGGUCGAUUUUUUUUGCAAUAUUAUUUUUCUAAAUUUAAUUGACCGACCAACGUUGGUCGGUAUAUUAAAACGACCAUCAAAAUACCGUCCAAGCGCAUUUGAUCGCGUUUUGAUCGGUAAUUGGCCAUAACCGACCAAAGUUGGUCGGUUUUUUUGGUCGGUAUUUACCGGAUUUCUAGUAGUGCUCGGUCUUCUUGUUGAAUUUUACUCUUGUAUGUUUACCAAACACACAAUGCUCACAAAAACUUAAAACUUAUUUUUUGUACCCAUUUAGCAAAUUCUACUUACUCAACAAAGACAAUCUCUUAUCACACAUAUGACCAAGUCACAAGUGCUACAAUUGAGACUAAUUCAGAUCACUUUUCCCAAAAGGUACAGUAGCUUCCCCUUCAACUACACUGGUCUGAAGAUGAUACAAUUUAUAAUGUAGUUUACCCUUCAUGAAUACCAUGGAGCUCUUUACACACUUUAAGUAUUCCAUUCUCGGAGUAAAACUUAUACCCUUGAUAAUCAAAUGUCGAAAGAGAGAUCAAAUUUCUCUUUAUCUGAGGAACAUGCCAACACUCAAUCUUUCUGAUAAUUCCAUCAAACAUUCUCAAUUUGAUGUUACCAAUACCCUGUACGGGUAAUGGAUUAUCAUCUCCCAUGUAGACAGUUCCACUCAUUUGCUUGUAAGUUGCAAGCCAAUUCUUGUGUGGACACAUGUAAAAAGUAGCACCAGAAUCAAGAACCCAAAAAUUCUACCUAUGUCUAGAACUCACAGUACAGACUUCCCCUACAUAGUCACUAUCAUCAGAAUUAUUUCCAGUGUCAAUAAUAUUUGCCAAAUUAUCUAUUUUCUGCUUCUCUCUUUUCUCCUUCAGCUUAGGACAAUGUCUCUUGUAGUGACCUUGCUCCCUGCACUCAUAACAGUUCUGCUUCCUUGCCCUAGACUUCGAUUUGGCGGUUGACGUUUUCCUGUUAAAGUCAUUUUGUUGUUUUCUUCCUCUACUCAUAAGACUUUCACCCUUAAUUCUGCUAUCUAGAAAGCUCUUUUUCAACUCUUUAGAUUCUAAUGCAUUACUAACAUCUUUCAGUGAAAUACUGUCUUUCCCAUAUAGCAGAUUAUCAGCAAAAGUAUCAUAAGACGGUGGUAAAGAACAUAAGACUAUCAAUGCCUGAUCCUCACUCUCAAUUUUGAUAUCCACGUUCUUCAGGUCCAUUAUAAUUGAAUUAAACUCAUCAAUGUGAGUUUUAACAGGUGUGCCUUCAUUCAUACGAAGAUUGUAUAACCUCUUUUUAGGUAGAAGCAAUUUGUCAACGAUUUCUUAAAAUACAAAUCUUCCAGCUUCUUCCAUGCCAUUGCUGCAGAAGUUUCUUCAGCAAUUUCCCGAGGAACGCUACCUGUAACGCUCAUGAAGAUCGCACUCAAAGCCCUCUCCUUCAGGUCUGCCUUCUCUGUCUCUUUCAUCUCUUCAGAAAAAUCUUCAUCAAUUGCCUUCAAUAACCCUUGUAAUACCAAGGACGAUUUCAUCCUAAUCUUCCAUAGACUGAAACUAGAACCCCGGUCAAAUUUCUCUCUUCGUACUUUUUUAAAGAUAAUGAAGACAUAUUAACUCUAGAUUAUAUGUAGAAACCUGAACCUUGCUCUGAUACUAAUUGUUGCAGAAGAUCGUGGGUUAACUAGCAUACAUGACACACAAAGCAAAUAGAGAAGAAAAAUCAACACAAUUGAUUUAACGAGGUUCGGCUAAGCCUAAUCCUCGGGGCAGAAGCAGAGAGAGUUUUCCACUAUGAAUGAGAAGAAAAAAAAUAUAAUCUACAGAAUCCUCAACUACAAUAGUCUCAAACCUAUAAGAGAAAGGUAUUCCAAUUUGACGAAGACAAUAGCUUUUCCUUUUCCAAAUCUAUUAGGACAAUGGGUUUUCCUGAACCUAUGAAGAUUAUGGAUUUUCUAAAAAUACAAGAAAAUAAUUCAAGUCACAAAUAACAAUCUGAAUUUAGUCGAACCCCAAUAUGAUUCUGAACACUAAAACCAAACAAAAAGAGCGUACACAAGCUUUUACAGGGUUAGCUGUUAAAUAGAAAGUGGUAUGUAAGCUUGAGGCUCUAUUAACCACCAAAAAAAAAGAAUAAUUAAUUUAUUAAUGGAUAUUCCUAAAUUAACAACUUAAUUAAUGAUUAACUACACAAAAACUAUGCAAUCAUCACGUUUGAAGUUAUUUAGGGGAGAUCGGUUUUAUGACGCAUUACAAAUGUUAUUCAAUUUUACUUUUAUAGCCAUUUUAUAGGAGAUCAAUAAAAUAAAAUAUUAUAUGAGAUCAAUAAAUGACGCACAUAAGAUUUUUGUACGAUCAUUUUAUUAUAUUCAAAUUAUAACCGGUCAUGGGAGAUAAUGAGUCACAAGAAAGUUAAACAACUAAAAGUGGAACACAAGAAAGAUAAGAAAGAAGGAAGAUCAGCUUUAUUAUGGAUUUUUAUGUUUCUUUUUGUCACUUUUUUGGUUAAAUACUUUUGGUACCACCACUACGUUGGAAUUCAUGCAAAUCCAUGCAAUAUUAUUAAGUUAUAAUAUCCUGCAAAUUGCCUGUAAAUUUCUCCAUAUCAUAAAUUAUAUUUUUAUUCUUGCUUCUUCUAUGUGAAGUAUUUCUACUAAUUAAUUAAUUCAAACAAUGACCAUAAAAUGAAUUUAUUCUCCAAAUAAUUAUCAUUUAAUGACAUUAAUCUCACAAUGUACAUUCAAAUCCUAUUAUGAGGUACAUAAUACAAACAAAUUAUUAUUACAUUUCAAAUUAGACUCCAAUGACAUUUUGUUUAUAUUUCCAUCCAAUCCAAAAGGUAGUAGUUAUAGCAAUCAUACAAUGAAAAUAUAGGUGAAUUCAAGAUAUACGUUAUGUUUGGAUCAUUGUUAUCUAUCAUUUUAUAAUGUAUUGUAUUGUACUGUAUUGUAUUGUAUUGUAUUGUAUCGUUUUAUGGAUAUAAUGUUUAAAUAGAUUGUAUCGUUUGCUGUUGUUAAAUAAUGUUUUUGUUGUUUAGUUUGACUGUAUCGUACUGUACUAUAACUGAUAAGUUCACUAAAAUACCCCCAAUUAUUUUAAAAUAAAAUCUAUCAAGAACUACACAUAAAAAUAAUUUAAUAAAAUAUCUUUCUACUAAUUUAUCAUUAAUUACGUAGAUUGGAAACAAGAGAAAAAACCUGAAAAAAGGUUAACUAAUAUUAGCAGCAACAAGAAAAAAAAAUUAAAAUGAUGGAAAGAGACGAAGAAUCGAAUGGAGACUUGGAUAAAAAGAACGGGGCAAACCGGCUCUAGAAAAGAUGGAAGAAGACAAAGUAGAUCAAUAGGUUGGAGAUUUGGAGUUAAAAUAAAAAAAAAAGUUAAAUGAUAAACUAGAAUUAUGGAGUAAUAAGUAAGGACGUAAUUGGAAAAGAAAAUAAGAAACUAUUCCACCACACCAAAUUGGUUGUUUCAUAAAAUGGGGGUUUUAAUUGUUCCGGAACAAUGCAUUUAACAAUACGAUACAAUCAAUUUUAAAUAAACAAUCAAAACAAACAUUGUUUUGAAAUACCAAUACAAUACGAUACAAUGGGUAACAACCAUCCGUACAAGCUGUUAAAGUCACUGACUUUACAAUGAAUGUGAUAAUACUAUUAUUAUUAUAAGUAUUAAAUUGUAUAUAUGUAUGCAUAAUUCGAGUCAAAAAUAAGUUGAAUUAAACUCACAAAACCUGCCUUAAAUCUAUCUUUCAUUGAAAAGGAUUUGUACCAAAAAAGGGCAAAAAUUGGAUGGGAAAAGGAAGGGAGUGGGACACUACUGUAGUAAGCCAAAAAAAUACAGCAAAGAGUAACAUGGUGAGAAGUUGGAUCAAAAGAGAGAGUACUUAAGCUCAAAGGGCCACUAAAAUAUCCAAAUACAUAUAGAAUUAGUAACGUUAAGAGAUUCAGAAUUUAAACUUUAUGAGCUCUAAAUUCAAGAACAACAAAUACAUAUAGAAUUAUUAGCGUUAGAGAUUCAGAAUUUAAACUUUAUGAGCUCUAAAUUCAAGAACAACAAAUACAUAUAGAAUUAUUAGCGUUAGAGAUUCAGAAUUUAAACUUUAUGAGUUCUAAAUUCAAGGACAACAAAUACAUAUAGAAUUAGUAGCGUUAGAGAUUCAGAAUUUAAACUUUAUGAGCUCUAAAUUUAAGGACAACGAUAUUUAAUAUCAGUAAUUAGAUUCUGAAUUUGAACUUUUUUUAUAUAUUAAAUGGAUUUCUUAGUACAAAUAUAUUGUUUAAGUAAAAAUUACUGAAUUCGAUCGAACGAGCUGAACCAAAAAGUGUGAUAGGGAAAUCCAUUAACUCAACAUAUGAGGUUUUUGUUUCAAUGUUGGGAGAUAUUUGUGUCAACCCGUGAUGGGAGUGAUAGUGCAUGUUAUCUUUGAGGCUGGAUUAUUUUGUUACCUUCUGCAUCUGCUUUCCUCAUCUUGAUGUGAUUGGUCGGCUACCCCCCCCCCCCACCCACCCACCCCUACAAAAAAAAUAAAAAAAAUAAAGGGCAAAAGAAAAAAAAAAUUUGUCACAUUAAAGUGCAAGUAAUUGAAUAUUACUCACUACUAUAAUAAAGUCAUAAAUAUUAACAGCUUCGUUUGGAUGAUUGUUAUGUAUCGUUUCGUAAUAUAUCAUACCGUAUUGUAUUAUACUGUAUCGUUUUGAUAUCUAUAAUAUUUGGAUAAAUUGUAUUGUUUAUCGUCGUUUCAUGAUAUCAUGUACCACAAUAUGAAGAAUAAACUUUCAUUAUUACAAAAAAAAAAAAAAAAGUAAGGUACGAAAUAGAAUUAUUACUCUAUCCGUACACUUUUACUUGUACACUAUUAUUAUUAAUGUGUUUUUGUCACAUUAAAGUACAAGUAACUGAAUAUUACUCACGACCGAUAGUAAAGUCACAAAUUUUAAAAUAACUAAAGUAUACAUGUGUAAAUUGCUCAGUAAAUAUUAAUGACCGGAAAGUCAAAUUUAUUGCAUCUAGUAGUUAUUUCUUCUCCCUUAAUUUUUUUAUUUUUGGUUUCAUUUAGAUGCCUUUUAACUGUCUUUUGUUUUAUGAAAUACAGGUAGUCAAAAUUCUACAUAAUAAUUUUCUCUCCUUUGUAUUUUCUGAGCAAACGCACAUAAUUUAGUUACUUUACUGUUAACGAGUAAAGUUCAUUUAUAUCAAUGAGAUAAAAAAAAAUAGUUUUAUAAUUUUAUUAUAAUAGUGAGUAAAAGUUCAUUUAUUUUAAUAAACUAUUUGUGUGUUUACUUCUUUAUAUUUUGAAUCACCUUAAUAAAAUUUCUAGCUCCGCCAUUUUUUGGGUGCACGCAAUAUGCAGGUGCAAUUUCAUCGAUCUACUAGUUAACUUGACUAAAAUAUGAACCUUGAAUAUAAAGUCACACUAUUGUUUUACUACAAUUUGAGAAUGUUAUCAUAGGCUAUAAGUUGAGAAGAUUUCUUCCUACUUCUUAAAGGGCAUUUGAGAAUGUGAGGAUACUUAUAAUGGGCGGGGCAUCCCGGUGCACGAAGCAUCUCGUAUUCAUGCAAGGAUCGGAAAACGGCCGCACGGCCAAGGAGUGUGAUGUAGGCAGCCUACCCUGAUGUAAGCAUCAGCGGUUGAUUCUACAGCUCGAACCCGUGACCUAUAGGUCACACAAAGAUAACUUUACUGUAAUUCUAAGGAUAGUCAUAAUAGAUGAAAUAUGAACCAUUCAAUAUUCAAUAGAUAGUAAACCAUUGGGUUCUCAUUUGGACCACCAAAAAUUUUCUUGAGCAUAUGACAAUAAGCACAUUAAAUAGAUUUUGUCUUGUAUUAUGUCCCCAUAUGGUAAGAGUUUGUGGA
rnacentral:lncRNA from 1 species